UGUAGGGAAUGUUCUUGAUAAUGCAAUCCUGGUGUUUCACUUUCAGUGUCCUGGGAAAGGAAAGGCACCCUCCACCCUUGUGGGUUCAUAAAUCACCUGGUAGAUAUGUCAUGAUCCAGAAUCUGAAAACCCAGUCUACUGAGAUCAUUGCCAGGACCCCAGGUGCAUUGUCUUUAAUGGUAUCCCACAUUUAUAUGGAUAUCAAAGGUCACUAAGUCCAACUGCUCUUCUGAAGCUUGGGAAGACAAGUUGAAAUAGUAAAAGGUUUAGGAGCUGCAGUAUCACUAAGCUGUGCUGCCAUCAAUGAAAUGGGGAUAUAAUUUUAUAAAUCAAGGGAAAUUCAGAGAAGAUGGCAAAGCAAGAGGAUCCUCAGUUCACCUCAGCCCAAAGACACUAAGAUAAUGGCUACAUCUGCAUAACUGACUCUGAAAAUGACCUGGAGACUGGCAGAGCGACCCUCCACCACUAAUUCUGGAGAGGAUUGAAAAGGACUUAGGUAGCUGGAAACUUGCAGGAUCCAAGGAGAACACUCUCCAACACUGUGCACCCAGCUUCCACAUUCCUUUCUGGCUAUGGUGAUUCAACCCACUCAACUUAGCAGGCAGCACCCUGUACAUAGCUACAGCAGGGACAAGUACCACUCCAAAGUGACUCCUACCCUGGGGAGGGGAUUAGAUAGCUGCACACCACAGUGCCCUCAGUGUCUGCAGAGGCAGUAAGCCCCAUUCAGUGUUCCAACAGCUGUGGCAGAUAUGCUAACUGUAGGCCACUAGCCCAAUACACCAAUAAGAAUCUGAAACGUGCAGGGAGAAAGCUCUUCCCUUUGAUGUUCUGGCAGAAGUCUCAAUUGAAGACAGUCAGCUGUACUUCUAACCUUGCCCACUAAAUGAGCUCACAGCACCCUUGGGCGUGAGCUCAACAGUGAGAACACUAACCCCCCUACUCCCAGUAUACAACAGCAAGCAAAGCUAGUCGUUCCAACAGGCUGGGAUAGAGCCAAUCAUGGCUCAGCCAAAAUGGGAAGAGCAUGCAGCCCACAGAGGGGACAUCCCUGGAACACCUGGUUCUAGUGACCAGGGGACUACUAUAGCACACCACAUGCCCUCUUCU